UUUAGUUUGUUAUUGCGUAAAUCUUGUUUUUUUUUCUUUCCAAUAUUACCUUUGGUUUAGCUUGUUAUUGAGUCAGUCUUGUUUUUUUUUUCUUCCCAAUAUUACCUUUGUAUCUUAACAGCAUAUAUAACUUGUAUUGUAUUAAACUUUGAUGUACAUAAAAGCAUUUUUCUCAAUAAAACAAAAAUAGGUGUCUUCUACUUCUAAUAUGGUAUCAGAAGCAAAUACACCAUCAAAGAAAAUGACUUGUACAUGCACAAAAGCUUGCUCUCAAAAUCUGUCCAGCUCCAACGACCAUGGCGCACCACCACUAUCUAGCUCUGUCGGCGAUCCUCCGCCCAGCUCAGCCAUAAACGGUUUGCCUCCGUCAAGCUCAAUACACAACCCUCCGCUCAGCUCAGUCGAGAAUGGCAAUCAACCUCCGUUAAGCUCUGUCGGACAUGGUGCUCCUAUUUCGGUACCAAAUCGAUCUUCCACACAAGACUCUCAAGAUCGUCCUAUACAUGAAGAUGCAACAAGCCCCUAUUUCUUGGGCUCCGGUGACAACCCAGGUCUCAUCUUGGCCUCUCCCCCACUCACGGAACAAAACUUUCAGGGCUGACGAAGAGAUUUCAGAAUCUCAAUUGGAGCCAAGAAUAAAGUCGCCUUCAUCAAUGGCACCCUUUCUCAACCUUCAGCCGAUGAUCCUCUGUUAAAUUCUUGGCAUAGAUGCAAUCAAAUGGUAAUGAGUUGGAUCCUUCACUCUAUAUCUCUUGAAAUCAAGAGCAGCAUCAUGUGUCUUGAAAAUUUAACAACCAUGUAGAGUAAACUCAAUCACAGAUUCAAUCAAGGAAAUGGGCCAAAGAUAUUUGAGCUUCGUGUGUCUCUCAUCAACCUUCAUCAAGGUCACGACUCCGUAAGUACCUACUUCACUAAACUGAAAGCUAUUUGGGAUGAAAUACAAGAGCUUCGGCCAAGAACUCCAUGUACCUGUGCAACCUCUGUUGAGAUUAGGUUUUACAAUUCCUUACAGGUCUCAAUGAUUCCUUUCAUGCUGUUAGGGCUUAGAUACUACUGAUCGAACCUUUUCCUUGUCUUUCCAAGGUAUUUUCUAUGGUUAUUCAACACGAAAGACAACGUAAGAUUGGCCUUUCCCACUCUUCAAAUCUGAUUGCUGCUACUGCUUCUACAAGCACCACUCAUCCUACUCCUAUAUCAAGAAACAAAAAGCUUCACCCAUCAUGUGCUCACUGCAAGAAAACAGGACAUUUCAAAGAGAAAUGUUAUUUUCACCAUAGAUUUCCCCUGGAUAUGGGACUCGAAGGCUGACUGAACCAUCUCCCACACCCUCUGCGCAUCAGGUCACUUUCAAUGGUCUUAAUGCCUCAACAUCUGAUUCCGAUUCUUCAAUCCAAGGCUUGAUAAAUUUACUCAGUCACCAACUCCAGCAAAACAAACAAACUCAGUCUCACAAUGACUCCAAACCCGUGGUUUCCAACAUCUCUGGUACAAUCCCUAUUAUACCUGAAACACCACAUGACCCAUCUACAACUUCAAUAAAAAAUGAAGUCCCAACUCAUACUUCAAAAGUUGGUAGAUCAAUAAAUUGGCCAAGUCAUCUUAAGGAGUACAUUUGUUUCUUAGGUGCCAAAGCAUCAUUAACACCAAUGGAACCUAAUAUCAAGCUCAGUAAAGAUGAAGGAGAGCUAUUGGCCAAUCCCACAACAUAUAGAAGCCUCAUUGGAAAGCUUAUUUAUUUAACAACUACAAGGCCAAAUAUCUCCUUUGCUGUCAAUAGAGUGAGCCAAUAUCUACAUGAACCAAGGCAGCCACAUAUGCAAGAAGCUCAUAUAAUUCUACAAUAUCUAAAGGGCACACCUGGCCAGGAAAUUUUUUUCCACUCAAAGUCCCAACCUCAACUUCAAGCCUUUGCUAAAACUAACCUCAAAGAAGCUGAUAUACAACUAAAUGUAUUCUCUGAUAAAGAUUGGGGAACUUGUCCAAACACAUGACGAUCCAUUUAUGGUUUUUGUAUUGUUUUGGGACAAUAUCUAGUGUCUUGGAAAUCAAAAAAGCAAAGCACAGUCUUAAGAUCUUCAGUAGAGGCAGAAUAUUGAGCUAUGACUAACACCGCUUGCGAAAUAUUAUGGCUGCUUGCCCUCUUGAAGGACUUUGGUAUCACUCAUUCCACUCCUGCCUUAAGAGUUCAAUGAGGACAGUUGAAACUAAUCCAUGUUGCUUCAAAAAACAACUUGGCUGACAUCUUAACCAAACCAUUAUUUCCUUCUUAAUUUCAUGCUCAAUUGUCCAAGAUGAGUGUAACAAAUCUAUACACUUCCACUUCCUCUUGAGGGGGAGUCUUAGAAUUAGUAACAAAAUUAGUUCAUCUUCUGUUACAAAAUGGUUUAGUUUGUUAUUGAGUGAGUCUUGUUUUUUCCCAAUAUUACCCUUGUAACUCAACAUCAUAUAUAAGCUGUAUUGUAUUAAACUUUGAUGUACAAAAAAUCAUUUUUCUCAAUAAAACAAAAAUAAGUCUUCUACUUCUAA